GACUUCUGUCUAAAUCUGCACAGCAAAGUGAGGUGCCAGUCAACUGGUCGUUUCCGUUUUGUUCUGCGUGUUAGUCUCUACUUUGUGUACUAUGGAGAUGCUCCCAGAAAGGUCACUUUUAGAGCCAAGGGGGCAUACAAGAACUUGGAAGACAGUCUCUGUUUUGGUUUGAAAGCGGAGAAUGAGUGAAAUGGUUGAAAUAACUUUGAUUUUGAUUGUCCCAAUGAGACAGUGAGAGAAACUUGGUACAAGACACUUGCUUGUUUGGCAAGAAAGAAUUUGCCGUUUUAAAGUUUGUGUGUGU